UCGCCGGCCGUGUGGGUUGGAGCGGAGGCUGACCGGGAAGUUCUCGUGCGGCGUGUGCUUGGCCGGGUAUUCGUACCCGAAUUCUCCCUCUCUCCAGCAGCCCCCUCUCCCACGGCCUCGGAACGGAACGCCGCGAGGCGUAGGCGCGGAUUCCGGGACCGGUACGUUGCCUUCGCGCUCGCGGCGAGUCUCCGGUCCCGCCGUUUCCGCCGCUGCCGCCCGCGGGGUGCUACUGCAUUGGAGAGGAGAAGGCAGUGGAUCGGGCGGUGGACGGGUUUGGGAUGACGAGUGUGGAGGGGGCCCGUGACCUCCGCGGCCGUGCAAGCAGCCGAGAUGGAGGAGAUGCAUACCGGGAUGCUGAGGGGACCGGAGGGGAUUGCAAGGCUGGUGGAGGAGAGCAACGUGCACCAGCAGGAAUCUCAAAGUUCAUUGCCGAGGAACAAUUCGCUGGGUUCUAAUAGGGAAAAAUUGUUCUCAGCAGGUUGUAUAGAUUGUGAAGAUAAUAAUGCGUAAAGGUCAUGAGGCAGAAAGGUGUGCAGGCUUGCGCUAUCAUUUUGUUCCUCCUCUGUGAGCCGAGGAUUCAGGGAUGCAAGGACAGAACCCUGGCACCCAGCAUAGAACCUGUGAGAUGUUGUGUUUGUGAUUAGAAGAUGGACAUCAUUUUGCAACCGUCAUCUUGAUGCCUGAAAUAUACAACACCGUAUUUCCCUUUAUGAAUUAUAUGACAUAUCCUUCACUGAAGCAGAUUCGUUCCCAGUUUUGUAUUA